rnacentral:tRNA from 1 species
UCCCUGAUAGCUAAGUUGGUAAAGAAUCCACCUGCAAUGCAGAAGACCCUGGUUUAAUUCCUGGGCUGGGAA